GGAUCCCAUCAGAACUCCGAAGUUAAGCGUGCUUGGGCGAGAGUAGUACUAGGAUGGGUGACCUCCAUUGCCACCAUUGCCACCAUUGCCAUCUACUACAUAUUGUCAAAUACCACUAACUCUACCACUUCUGCACCAUUGCCACCUACUACAUAUUGUCAAAUACCACUAACUCUACAUAGGUCCCUUUUUCAUAUAUAUUUUCUGCGCGCGGGGAACAUGGCGCAUGUUGCGCAUUAAAUAUUACACACGGUUUCGAAUUUUUUGACGUUUCCGGUAAGUUUUAGCUUGUGGCUCAUUAAUCACGCGUCUAAGGACGGAUAAGUAGUGUUGGCAAAGGUACCGCGUUCUGAAAGGGGUGUAAACCGUGGUGAAACUCGUGUUGGUGCGGUAGAAAGGGGGGGUGGAAACGAUGGUAAACUAGUCUCGGUCGUUUAGCGACAAAGUAAGUAGUGAAGUGGAGUAUCCGUUAUUAGGCAGUGCUGACAAAGAAGGUAGGGUCGGGUUUAUAGUGGAGCUGGGAGGGGCGAGCAUAAGGGACGAAGUUGGGGAAACAUGUCGGAUGCGAUCAUACCAGCACUAAAGUACC
rnacentral:rRNA from 1 species